UUUUAGAAAUACAAAGAAAUUUGUUUAUUACAUCUGGAUUAAUAUGCAGUUUAUAAUGAGACAGAAGACCAAAUGACAGCACAGCAUUUUUAUAAAAUUCAAGAUAGUUAUUUCAGAUGAACACCUAGAAGACCCCCCCACUUUACAUAUAGCAGUCUGAUGAUCUAGGAGAAGAUGGGGAUGACUCCUUGGUAUUCAUCUCUUACAUCAGUCUAGUCCACAGUAUACAAGAGAGAAACACACCGCCUAGCAAGACCUAUUUAAACCUGUAUUUCUGCUAAUCUCCUGUACACCUACUGUAUCACAACAAAAAGAAAAACUGAAUUCAUGAUAUUCAAGUAUUUUCCCAUUUAUCAUUGCAAGCUGA